rnacentral:rRNA from 1 species
GUCGAACGGAGCACUGAAAGCGGAUUACUUCGGUUUGAAGCUUUCUUUGACUGAGUGGCGGACGGGUGAGUAACGCGUGGGUAACCUGCCUCAUACAGGGGGAUAACAGUUAGAAAUGACUGCUAAUACCGCAUAAGCGCACGGUUUCGCAUGGAACAGUGUGAAAAACUCCGGUGGUAUGAGAUGGACCCGCGUCUGAUUAGCUGGUUGGUGAGGUAACGGCCCACCAAGGCGACGAUCAGUAGCCGGCCUGAGAGGGUGAACGGCCACAUUGGGACUGAGACACGGCCCAAACUCCUACGGGAGGCAGCAGUGGGGAAUAUUGCACAAUGGGGGAAACCCUGAUGCAGCGACGCCGCGUGAAGGAAGAAGUAUUUCGGUAUGUAAACUUCUAUCAGCAGGGAAGAAAAUGACGGUACCUGACUAAGAAGCCCCGGCUAACUACGUGCCAGCAGCCGCGGUAAUACGUAGGGGGCAAGCGUUAUCCGGAUUUACUGGGUGUAAAGGGAGCGUAGACGGCAGUGCAAGUCUGGAGUGAAAGGCGGGGGCUCAACCCCCGGACUGCUCUGGAAACUGUACGGCUGGAGUGCAGGAGAGGUAAGUGGAAUUCCUAGUGUAGCGGUGAAAUGCGUAGAUAUUAGGAGGAACACCAGUGGCGAAGGCGGCUUACUGGACUGUAACUGACGUUGAGGCUCGAAAGCGUGGGGAGCAAACAGGAUUAGAUACCCUGGUAGUCCACGCCGUA